rnacentral:rRNA from 1 species
GGGGAUUAGUGGCGAACGGGUGAGUAACACGUGGGCAAUCUGCCCUGCACUCUGGGACAAGCCCUGGAAACGGGGUCUAAUACCGGAUACUGAUCACCUUGGGCAUCCAAGGUGUUCGAAAGCUCCGGCGGUGCAGGAUGAGCCCGCGGCCUAUCAGCUUGUUGGUGAGGUAGUGGCUCACCAAGGCGACGACGGGUAGCCGGCCUGAGAGGGCGACCGGCCACACUGGGACUGAGACACGGCCCAGACUCCUACGGGAGGCAGCAGUGGGGAAUAUUGCACAAUGGGCGAAAGCCUGAUGCAGCGACGCCGCGUGAGGGAUGACGGCCUUCGGGUUGUAAACCUCUUUCAGCAGGGAAGAAGCGAAAGUGACGGUACCUGCAGAAGAAGCGCCGGCUAACUACGUGCCAGCAGCCGCGGUAAUACGUAGGGCGCGAGCGUUGUCCGGAAUUAUUGGGCGUAAAGAGCUCGUAGGCGGCUUGUCACGUCGGUUGUGAAAGCCCGGGGCUUAACCCCGGGUCUGCAGUCGAUACGGGCAGGCUAGAGUUCGGUAGGGGAGAUCGGAAUUCCUGGUGUAGCGGUGAAAUGCGCAGAUAUCAGGAGGAACACCGGUGGCGAAGGCGGAUCUCUGGGCCGAUACUGACGCUGAGGAGCGAAAGCGUGGGGAGCGAACAGGAUUAGAUACCCUGGUAGUCCACGCCGUAAACGGUGGGCACUAGGUGUGGGCAACAUUCCACGUUGUCCGUGCCGCAGCUAACGCAUUA